rnacentral:misc_RNA from 1 species
AACGCCAUUAAGACAGCA